rnacentral:lncRNA from 1 species
UGAAAUUUUAAGCCCAAAUUUAACCAGGCGGGUUAAUAUCUCGCUCAUUAUUUAGGAUUUUGAUUGAAAACUAGGGCCGACCAUAGGUAGGCGUGGUUACCGAAAUUAGGUUAGAGAAGUGAAAAGCGAAUAAAGAAGCGUGUAAUUGACAAAUUGGAGUCAAAAUCAUCGACCCUGGAAUAAACUUGUGUCCUUGGGUCUUCCUCGUCCCGGUCAACUGAUCGAUAUUUUGUGUUCCAAGUAUCAAAUAUCAGUUCUGAUAUAUUCCAAGUCGUCAAUCGUAGAAGGCGGUGUAAUGGUGAAAAGUGAGCAUCAAUUUAUUUAGAGAAUGACUCCCAAUGGGACUGACCAUCUACCUUGAACCAGACCACUCACACUUGGCAGUUUCCUUAAAGUGAUUAGUCGUUUGCAUUAACAGAUCUAGAGAGAUUUUUUGCUGGACGGGUGUUAAACAUAUGUUCCCUAAUCCUUUCAUUUUUCCAAAUUGAUAUUUGUCUUAAGUUAUAAAUGUUCUCUUCUUGCACUGUACAUGAUUAUUGUAUGAUGAAUAAUGCUAAACUAUGGUAAACAUGCAUUAAUCAUAAUGAUUUGACUUAAAUUGUUUCUAUAUCCGCAUUAUUUAUAUCUAAGUUUAUAUUUACUGUUUGUUAAAAUUCGUCAUGUUCCCUGCUACGGAAAAGCGGGUCCUCUUGGCUCUGGAAAUUCAGAGAAUAGCAACCAUUGGGAUAUUUUCAAGUAAAUGUGAUUCUUAA